rnacentral:rRNA from 1 species
UACGGAGGGUGCAAGCGUUGUUCGGAUUUACUGGGCGUAAAGGGCGCGUAGGCGGCGCGGUAAGUCACUUGUGAAAUCUCUGAGCUUAACUCAGAACGGCCAAGUGAUACUGCAGUGCUAGAGUGCAGAAGGGGCAAUCGGAAUUCUUGGUGUAGCGGUGAAAUGCGUAGAUAUCAAGAGGAACACCUGAGGUGAAGACGGGUUGCUGGGCUGACACUGACGCUGAGGCGCGAAAGCCAGGGGAGCAAACGGG